rnacentral:rRNA from 1 species
AUUGAACGCUGGCGGCAUGCCUUACACAUGCAAGUCGAACGGCAGCACGGGUGCUUGCACCUGGUGGCGAGUGGCGAACGGGUGAGUAAUACAUCGGAACAUGUCCUGUAGUGGGGGAUAGCCCGGCGAAAGCCGGAUUAAUACCGCAUACGAUCUACGGAUGAAAGCGGGGGACCUUCGGGCCUCGCGCUAUAGGGUUGGCCGAUGGCUGAUUAGCUAGUUGGUGGGGUAAAGGCCUACCAAGGCGACGAUCAGUAGCUGGUGUGAGAGGACGACCAGCCACACUGGGACUGAGACACGGCCCAUACUCCUACGGGAGGCAGCAGUGGGGAAUUUUGGACAAUGGGCGAAAGCCUGAUCCAGCAAUGCCGCGUGUGUGAAGAAGGCCUUCGGGUUGUAAAGCACUUUUGUCCGGAGAGAAAUCCUUGGCCCUAAUACGGUCGGGGGAUGACGGUACCGGAAGAAUAAGCACCGGCUAACUACGUG